UAUUGGAAGAGACGGGCUGGCACCUCCCGGGGUGGCCAGCCUUGCUGAAUUAUUCCACCCGUGUCUUUUGCGUACUUCUUGUUUCCUUGGUGGGCUCGCCCACCACAAGGACCAACCCAUAAACCUUUUUGCAAUGGCAAUCAGCGUCAGUAACAAUGUAAUAAUUUACAACUUUCAACAACGGAUCUCUUGGUUCUGGCAUCGAUGAAGAACGCAGCGAAAUGCGAUAAGUAGUGUGAAUUGCAGAAUUCAGUGAAUCAUCGAAUCUUUGAACGCACAUUGCGCCCUUUGGUAUUCCAAAGGGCAUGCCUGUUCGAGCGUCAUUUGUACCCUCAAGCUUUGCUUGGUGUUGGGCGUCUUUUUGUCUCCCCUUGCGGGAGACUCGCCUUAAAGUCAUUGGCAGCCGGCCUACUGGUUUCGGAGCGCAGCACAAGUCGCGCUCUCUUCCAGCCCCAAGGUCUAGCAUCCACCAAGCCUUUUUUUUCAACUUUUGACCUCGGAUCAGGUAGGGAUACCCGCUGAACUUAAGCAUAUCAUAAGCCGGAGGAAUAAACCCUCAGUGCGUCUCAAGGCGCUCUCAGACCGACACCACAUGUCGCGCGAUAUUACCGCGCAGAGUUUUCACAUCUCUAUGCGCAGGAAGAAGAGA
rnacentral:rRNA from 1 species